rnacentral:rRNA from 1 species
AAACGGCCGCGAGACUCAACCGUGCGAAGGUAGCGAAAUCACUUGUCUCCUAAAUAGAGACCUGUAUGAAAGGCCCAAUGAGAAAGAAACUGUCUCUUGAAGUUGGCCAAUGAAACUGAUCUGCCCGUGCAAAAGCAGGCAUAACAAAACAAGACAAAAAGACCCUGUGAAACUUAAAAUAAACGCCAAUCACAUGUCGAUAUUUUUAGGUUGGGGCAACCAAAGAGAAACAAAACCUCUAAAAUACAUUAGACUAACAAGUCCAACCAAACCAAUAUGACCCAGUAAGACUGAUUAAUGAACCAAGCUACUCCAGGGAUAACAGCGCCAAAUUCUUGAAGAGUCCACAUCAACAAGAAUCCCUACGACCUCGAUGUUGGAUCAGGAUAACCCAACAGCGCAAAAG